rnacentral:rRNA from 1 species
UACAUGCAAGUCGAACGAGAAGCAGUCUUCGGACUGUGGAAAGUGGCGGACGGGUGAGUAAUAUGUAGAGAAUCUGCCCUUGAGAGGGGGACAACAGUUGGAAACGACUGCUAAUACCCCAUAUGAGCGUAGCUGAAAUGCUAUUCUUGAAAACUCCGGUGCUCAAGGAUGAGUCUGCAUCUGAUUAGCUAGUUGGUGGUGUAAUGGACUACCAAGGCGACGAUCAGUAGCUGGUUUGAGAGGAUGAUCAGCCACAAUGGGACUGAGACACCGGCCCAUACUCCUACGGGAGGCAGCAGGUAGGGUAAUUUUGCGCAAGUGGGGGGAAAAACCCCUGACGCAGCAACGCCGCGUAGAACGAGAACGCCCGUUCGGGGUGUUAAAGUUUUGUCAGUGGGGACGAACAAUGACGGUACCCACAGAGGAAGCACCGGCUAACUCCGUGCCAGCCGCAGC